rnacentral:rRNA from 1 species
GGAUUAAUACCUGAUACUCUUUAUUUCUCGCAUGAGAAUAAAAGGAAAGGUCAGCCGAACUAAGAUGAGCUCGCGUUCUAUCAGCUAGUUGGUAAGGUAAUAGCUUACCAAGGCUACGACGGAUAGCUGGUCUGAGAGG